UGCACAUUGCACCCCGAGCGCUCACACUGAGCUACAGCCCCAGACCCUCUGUUCUGCGACAGGUGCUCAGUGAGGUACCCAGGCUGGGACGGAAUGCUCCAUCUCCCUGCGCAGCACUCCAGCGCACUGCGAUUGUGCUGUGCACUUCCUCGCCCAGCUGGAAUACUUUUCUGAGAUGUAAGAAGGAGGGAGUGAAUUCUUUCAGAACUGAGCUACUCUGUGGACUGUGUGUCAAUGCUUUUCAGCUUUAAUGGGAUCGGAGAAUUAAUCUUCAUAAUGUACAUUUGGACAACACUGUCAACAGCGUAGGGAAACAUGUGGAUCACCAAUGUGGUUAACUCUGUUAUUCACUCUUAAGAACCUUGAAGAGGCCCGAAACCACGAGCUGGACAACCAUCAGAAGGCCGUCGCCACACUACAGAAUCUGCAUGUAACAAAAAUAGCCCAUCUGAGACGUCAGCAUCAAGAGAAAAUGACCAAGGUAAUUGAAGGACCAUCCAAUAACUGCUCUCAACAUGUGUUAUUAUCAGCAAGAUGGAAUUUUAAAAUUGAUAGUAGCCUGGUGUGGAGGUGCAUGUCUGCCAUCCCAACACUCUGUGGAGGCCGAGGCAGGAGGAUUGUUGUGAGUUUGAGGCCAGCCUAGUGGCCCCACACUCUGUGCACCUCUCAGUUGGC
rnacentral:lncRNA from 1 species